AGUUGCUUUUGACAGAUCACAGCAAUGAACAAAGUAACUGACAGACCAUGUAACCCAGGCUGGCCUCAGACUUACUGUGCAGCUUCAGUGACAGGGUUUCUCUGUGCAGCCCUUGCUGUCCUAGAACUUGAUCUGUGUAGACCAGACUGUCCUGGAACUCAGAGAUCUGCCUUCCUCUGCCUCCCAAGUGCUGGGAUUAAAGAUGAAGACAGCACACAUGACCUCUUCCACCCUGAGUUACAUCAAUGAACGCCUUUGGACUUGAGAAGACCACCUUCCACAAUCGGCACACUGUGACUGCCAGCUGACACGAUGCUGAUCAUUUUGAUAAUACCUACUCACUGUUUUCCCCCUCCAGCUUUCCCUAAACCACUCCCAACAUGUCUCCAUCUCCAUAUCAUACGCACCAAUUUUUUUCCUUUUAAAUUACCAACUGAGUCUAAUUAGUAUGUCUCUAUGUCCAUGCACUAGAGCAUGAACCUUUCC
rnacentral:lncRNA from 1 species